CAGAAUUUUGGAAGCCUUCUGAUGGAUUUUCUUUACUUCUUUGGGAAUGUCUUUGAUCCUCGCCAAAUGCGUGUAUCUGUGCAAGGAAGUGGAAUCUAUGUCAACCGUGUUAGGGGUUAUAGCAUUGAUCCAUUACACAUUGAUGAUCCUCUUUUUCCGACAAAUAAUGUUGGGAGAAAUUGCUUCCGAAUACAUCAGUGUAUAAAGG